rnacentral:lncRNA from 1 species
ACAUUGUCACAGCAACAAAGGAAUGUUUGGUAACAAAGGCAGUGACCUCACAGAAGCUGGUCUUAACCCACCUUCCUGAAGCUCAGGGCAGAUCAGAGCCAGCCAAGAGAGAACUGGGAGGCAAGGGAAGACCAUAGUUGUACUUUGCCUUAGAGGAGCUGUGACUACUACAAAAUUACUGUCCUGGUUGAAUGUGAAAACUGUGUCCCAUCCAUCAUUUCACUGACACUGUCCUACCUCCAAGACCCCAUCCCCUGUGGGAGGUUGGCCCACCCCAC